GGGGAGUGGCAGACGGGUGAGUAACACGUGGGAACAUGCCCAAAGGUACGGAACAACUCCGGGAAACUGGAGCUAAUACCGUAUGUGUCCGUAAGGAGAAAGAUUUAUCGCCUUUGGAUUGGCCCGCGUCGGAUUAGCUAGUUGGUGGGGUAAAAGCCUACCAAGGCGACGAUCCGUAGCUGGUUUGAGAGAACGACCAGCCACACUGGGACUGAGACACGGCCCAGACUCCUACGGGAGGCAGCAGUGGGGAAUCUUGGACAAUGGGCGCAAGCCUGAUCCAGCCAUGCCGCGUGGAUGAUGAAGGCCUUAGGGUUGUAAAAUCCUUUCGUGGGGGACGAUAAUGACGGUACCCCAAGAAGAAGCUCCGGCUAACUUCGUGCCA
rnacentral:rRNA from 1 species